ACCAGGGGCCCUGGCAAGGGUCUCCGGAUCGCGCUCAGCCAACCAGCAGAGCCGUUCCGUGACUGUACUGCCCACAAGGCGGACUGACGAGGUUGCGACUGGAACGAGUCGUCCUGAGGGACGGGGAAGCGAUUAACGCAUCAGCUCGAGACGUCAGUACUGUCGUUACGCAAUGGCCGUGUGUCACUGCGUGUUGGAAUGCCACGAAUCAUUCCACAGUUUGCCAACUUCUC
rnacentral:ncRNA from 1 species